AUGCUUUGUGCCAUUUAUUGUGCUGGUGAGCCACGGUUAAAUAAGCUGCAGCCUCCGUCCUUGAAAAGCUCGCUGGCUAAGAGAGACAGUGACAAGCGGGAAGUGAAAUGCCAUGGGAUGGUCUUGGCUCUUCAGGAUUUAUAUUCCUAUUCGUUAUCUGGAAAAAAAAGGAUAAUCAUGGAUCAAGGGCUGCUCUACACAAUUGUUGCUGUGGCUGUCUAUGAAGAUGUCAUUAUAGGACACAAAGUCCAUGCAGCUGGCUUCACAAUAAAGUGGAAUUCUUUGCAGAAAACUGAUGAGCUGCCAGCUUCUAGAUCCAAGAUUCUAAAAACUGCCCACAUUCCUUGGCUCAUGGCCCCCUUAACUCUUCAAGGCCAGCGAUGGCCACUAGAGUCCCACAUCACUGGCAUACUGACAUCCAGAUUUAAACGCUGCAGCACAGCACCCUGCACAAGGAGAAGGCUGACACAGAGCUUCUAUUUUUAUAUGUUUAGUGAUAUAUCCAAGUGUCACUCAACAACAACAGGAAAGGAGCGACCGAGCUGA
rnacentral:lncRNA from 1 species